UGUGUGUGUGUGUGACUGUUUGUCCCAUUCGAAAAAUGGCUGAAAGUUUAUCGGCAACUGUGGCUCUCUUUUCCCACAUGCCAGGGUAUUACAGUCCCUUAUUUGCUCCAUUUCAUUCCACUGCACUCAGCAUCUGAGAGACCGACACUAUAGUUUCACUGUUGACUGUUUAACACAAUAUUAGGUGGACCCAUCUCUCAUAACAGAGGGUACAAAAAAAAAAAUCUCAAGGACCCAAGCCCAACAUUGAGCAGAUGUUGGCCAUUUUGCUUUACAGUAGCCAUUUGUUGCACAUUCCAAGGCUCAUACAUUGACAAACUUACCAAUUAGCAUUUGAGUAAAUGAGCUCUGAUUGGAACCAGGUGACAUACACAGAUGGGUGCUAAAUUGCUCAUCUUACUGUGGCCAAAGCAUGGUGUCAAUAUUUGGUAGAGUCACGAUGAAAAAGCAAGGCCCAUUCAACACUGCUUAAAGAUUUCAUUUUUUUUCUUUUUUUUUUUUUUUUUUUUUAAUCUACCGAUAUGUCAAGCAAGGACAUUCUCCUGCAUGACGAGAUUAACCGACUGAUUUGCGAGGCAGGUAACCGUCGAAGGCUGAGAAUAAACAUCCGCUCGCUUCUGCACUGCUAAGCCGGUUAAAAAUAGCGAUAGAAGAGAAGACGAUGAAAGGAUUGAGAGAACUGCGCUGGACACAACGGAAGAUGGAAAGACUUCCUGAAAAGUAGGUGCUUGAAGAAUUAGUGGGUCACCGCCACUGGACAAACAAACAACUAUGCGGAAGCACACAUGAUGGUUCCAUCAUCAUGUGUAUGACCAUGAUGAGCAUGUUUGGCUGCGUGCUGUUGGCUUGGUUGGCCAGAAGAAUACCAUGUGCGAGAGGAGAACAAGAGGAAGAUGUCGGGAUGAACGCCAGCGACGUGAUGAGCAAUGUGACGGGGAGUGAAAUGAAUUGGAGGGUCUUAUGGCCGCCGCGGCGACCUUCACUCUCCAGGGUUUUGUGACAUAUGCGGCCAUGACGGGGCAGCACCCUCCAUAUCGGCUCAAGGAUGAACAUUUCCCUUAUGGAGGUGACCUGUCAAUCAUCCUCACUGGAUGUUCGACAUCCAACAUGCGCUAACGACGCAGGUGUCUGUUUAAGACAGAGCAGUCAUGAAAAGAUGAAAAUGUAUGUCCAUUUUCCUCCUAAUAUACUGUACUUGACUUUUCUUUAGAUGAUUUAGACUCCUAUUAAACAGAAUGCUGACUUUA